GCUCAGCAGGCAGAAAAAGUGCCGUCUCCUUUGUUCUCUUCACCUAGUUCAUUUUCCUUUGCUUUUCAACCCUCUGCCCCCAUCCCUAGCCUGAUAUGCAGAGUUGGCGGCUAUCAGCAGUUACUGAACAACUUUCUCGUGUUGUUGGGGGUGACUUGGGAUGUGUUGUUCCUCGGUACUAGAGGGCAAGAGGCCGGCUGAAAUUUUUGCUCAGUGCAGGCCCCUUGAGUGAUACCUCCAAACACUUUGCAGUUAUGCAAAAAAGUUUCCUCCGGGUCUGAGAAUGCAUUUUUUCCCCUUCUUGAGUGUCAACAGCAUUUUAAUUUGCCUUGUGAUGAUGAAGAACCUUUGAAGGCAGCAGAGCUGAGGAGGAGGGUCAAAAGGCAAUUAAAAACAAGGAGAGAGAGAAUGCUUCCUUUUUUCUCUUCUGGGGGAAAGAAAAACUUGUUAAUGAGCCCAAACCAGAAUGAAACAACAGGCCUUUCAUUUAGAAACUGUACUGUCCCCGCUAUCAAACAAAUUGAUUAGCUGCCGAAUCAUAAUCGGAAUGUUCAGAUAAGGCGUUAAUUGGUGGAAUCAAUUAAUUCCAGAAUUUUGACAAGCCCCAGUUGUCUCCUAAGUGCGGAUAAUGCAUUCUUGUAAGGUUUUGAAGAUAAGAGAUGCAGGAUUAGGGCUUUGGAACAAUCCCAGGUGGCCUCUACAGCUCCAUCUUUUCAUGAGCCCUACAGACAACCAGCUUACCAAGGAAGCAUAACAGACUUCAUCAAAACAUCUGGAGGGCGCCAGAUUGGCAAACACAAUGGACUGCUGUUGUGGACAUGUCCAAAUCAUAAUGCAAAAUUCAGUCACUCUCAUUGCUUUGGGCCACAGGGGAAAUCCCUGUUUAAUUUAUUUGUCAUACAUCCUGCUCACAUACACAUUCAUUCUGAAUUUUGCCCUAAAGCAUAUACUGUGUGCUCCCCAGUGCAAUCUCCUUCUAAAUCCCCCUCCUCCGCAUAUUGUCAGCAGCCUUCACCCUCCAAAAAAUAGCUAUCGUAGGUAGACACAUGAUUCCCUUCAUUAAUAAAAAAGAGCAUGAUAAAUAUAGCUUGAAAUAUUUAUGCAGUAUGACUUGUAUGAUAAGAAUAUUAGAUCACCAGAGAUUGCUCUAAUUGUAAUUGUCUUUAAGCGAUGCUAGAGUUCAGUUUUGCCUAGCCUAGUUAAAACUUAAACCAUAUAAGAGAUGGAGAAGUUGGUGCAUUUUUUAUUAAUUCCCAUCAUCUUUAGGCUGUA